rnacentral:rRNA from 1 species
GACGAACGCUGGCGGCGUGCCUAAUACAUGCAAGUCGAACGCAGUGGGGACGGGUGAGUAACACGUGGGUAACCUCCCAUCAGAGGGGAUAACACUUGGAAACAGGUGCUAAACCGAUACUGAUGGAUGGACCCGCGGUGCAUUAGCUAGUUGGUGGGGUAACGGCUCACCAAGGCCACGCUGCAUAGCCGACCUGAGAGGGUGAUUGGCCACACUGGGACGUAGACAUGGUCCAUACUCCUACGGGAGGCAGCAGUAGGGAAUCUUCGGCAAUGGAACAAAGUCUGACCGAGGAACGCCGCGUGAGGGAAGAAGGUUUUCGGAUCGUAAAACUCUGUUGUUCGAGAAGCGGUAUCUAACCAGAAAGCCACGGCGAACUACGGGCCAGCAGCCGCGGUAAUAC